rnacentral:lncRNA from 1 species
GAGCUUUGGGACAAAAGUGGAAUUUUUGAAAAGUUAUGGGGAAAAAUGUAAAUUUGCCAAAAUAUUGUGUAUGAAUUGUAUUUGAAUGGAAUAUUGAUAAAAUGUAUUAAAUUGUGUUAAUAUAGAUCAAGAAAGAAGAAAUAGUGGAAGUGAUCGGGGAAAAGAGAAAGUUAUCGACUAAAUUACAAAAAUAGUCGUUUUGCAUCCGAGGUAAGUUAUGUGUAAAUAAUAGUAAUAUAUUUUAUAAAUUGUGAAUUUUAUUUGAUAUGUGAAUCAAUAUUGAAUGUGGAAGGAAAAUUGUUCAUGAAUUAUUCAAGUGAUAAAGUGUUUAAAAUAAAGUGUUAAGUGUAAAUUCCCGGUUGAACUUAAGAAUAGAAGUGGAUACAAGUGACAUGUCACUAGAGACCAGUGUUACAGUGUUACAGUGAGUCCCGGUGCUGGGUGAUCUAGCAUGUGUUGCAGACACCUGACAGCUUGUGUGAGCAGGCCCGUGGACAUUUCCAGUGUUAUUGAUCAGUGGUAGCUUCGGCUACGUUUCAGUGGUAGCUUCGGCUACAUAACAGUGGUAGCUUCGGCUACAUUUCAGUGGUAGCUUCGGCUACAUAACAGUGGUAGCUUCGGCUACAUAUCAGUGUUGCACUUAUGUGCUAAAUCUCUACGUAUCUGUGUAUAUUCCGAGUGUUCAACGGGAUUAAUAAUGAGUUAAAGUGAAUAUGAAAUGAAGUGUGUAUGCAGGUACAAUUGAAAGAAUGAGCAUAUGUGAUAAAUGUUAAGUGUGAAAAUGUAUAUGAAAGUGAAUUGGUAAGAUUGUGCAUGUGUAAGUGAUUGAAAUUGCUAAGGAAUAUUUUGAUUAGUUAUAUGCUAAAAGUGUUAUUUAUUAAAUGAGUACCUAUUAUUUACAUGUAAUUUACUAAGCUAUUUGUAGCUUACACAUUUUCUUAUUUCCUUUGUUUUAUAGUGAUUUGAACUUGAUCGAAUUGGGGAUCGUCGGAGCUCGUAUCACACUAUCAUAAUCAUCUCAGUAUUAUGUGCUUUUCAAAAUGUUUAAACUAUGGCAUGUAUAGAGUCUUAAUCAUUUUG